rnacentral:lncRNA from 1 species
CAUAACAGUACACUUGAUAAUUUACGAGAUAUAAUGAAAGCACUUACAAAUUCACGCUCUCAUUGCAGCUGCAUUUAUGAUAAUUAAGCAUUCCACAGUAUACUCGAAGGUGAAAUGAUUAUUCGGAGACGCUCCACCACUGGGUCGAUGGCAGUUAUUCAAGAAUUUCCGAUAUCGGUUGCAGCUGUUAUCUUGCGAGCUGCUUUUCUAAAAUUUAAUUCAGGUGCAAUACAUUGCAAUCAACAUAAUUUGUUAGAUAAACAUAACGCAUAACGAUAGCAAGAACAAUAACAACAACGACAAAAACAAAAACAAAGAUAGGAACAAUGACAACAUGGUGAUGACCAAAAAGCAACCAAACCAAAUAUACAAGCGAUAACAACUUUCUGUUGUUCUCGCUGACGUUUGCUCGGUCAUGGUAUUGGUUGUAUUUACUAAGAGUAUAUAUAAAUAUAUGUAUAUGUAUGUACAAGU